AGCCGAGGCCGAUAGGCGUAGGCGAUGGACAACAGGUUGAUAUUCCUGUACCACCUCCUUACCAUUUGAGCAAUGGGGGGACGCAGUAGGAUAGGGUAAGCGUGCUGUUGGUUAUGCACGUCUAAGCAGUGAGGUGUGAAUGUAGGCAAAUCCGCAUUCUUUAACAUUGAGCUGUGAUAGCGAAGUUCUUUAGAACGAAGUUCCUGAUUUCACACUGCCAAGAAAAGCCUCUAUCGAGGUGGGAGGUACCCGUACCGCAAACCGACACAGGUAGUCGAGGAGAGAAUCCUAAGGUGUGCGAGAGAACUCUCGUUAAGGAACUCGGCAAAAUGACCCCGUAACUUCGGGAGAAGGGGUACCACAGCAAUGUGGUCGCAGUGAAAAGGCCCAGGCGACUGUUUACCAAAAACACAGGUCUCUGCUAAAGCGUAAGCUGAUGUAUAGGGGCUGACGCCUGCCCGGUGCUGGAAGGUUAAGGGGAAUGCUUAGCGCAAGCGAAGGUGUGAACUUAAGCCCCAGUAAACGGCGGCCGUAACUAUAACGGUCCUAAGGU
rnacentral:rRNA from 1 species